CCUAAAAUCUAGCCCACACAAUUCGCAUACCCACCUCACCCAAUUAUUAUCUAAUAAACCAUUUUAACUUUUUAGUAAAGGCGAUCGAAAAAUUUCUAGGCGCUUCAGAUUUAGUACCGCAAGGGAACUAUGAAAUAGUUAUGAAAUAAUCCUAAAGCCCACAAUAGCAGAGGUAUAACCUCGUACCUUUUGUAUCAUGGUCUAGCCAGUCUACCCAAGCAAAAAGAAAUUUUUAGUUUGACCCCCCGAAACUAAGCGAGCUACUUCAAAACAGCCCUAUGGGGCCAACCCGUCUCUGUUGCAAAAGAGUGGGAAGAUUAUUAAGUAGAGGUGAUAAGCCUACCGAGCUUAGAGAUAGCUGGUUAUUCAAGAAAAGAGUUUAAGCUCUACCUUAAGUUUUGUUUUCUUAUCAAAAACCCUUUUAGACUUAAGAGCUAUUCAAAUAAGGCACAGCUUAUUUGAAAAAGGACACAACCUAAAAUAUUGGGUAAAUUAAAGGUCUAAUUAGCCAAGUGGGCCUAAAAGCAGCCAUCUUCUAAAAAAGCGUUAAAGCUUGACACUUAAUAUCCCUUCAAUUUCUCGAACAAUUCUCAACCCUUCACCACUAUUGAAUUAUUUUAUACCUAUAUAAAAGAUAUUAUGCUAGAACUAGUAACAAGAAACUGGCUUUCUCCAAAAUGUAAACAUAAACCAAAACGGACAUACCAUCGGAAAUUAACGUAAAUGAAAAAAUUAUAGCAACACAAAACCAGAAUACCCUAUGAUCUUUGACGUUAGCCUAACACCAGAACAUUAAAGGAAAGAUUAAAAGAGAAAGAAGGAACUCGGCAAAUUUAAGCCCCGCCUGUUUACCAAAAACAUCGCCUCUUGAUAAUAUAUAAGAGGUCCAGCCUGCCCGGUGACAAAGUUUAACGGCCGCGGUACCCUGACCGUGCAAAGGUAGCAUAAUCACUUGUCCUUUAAAUAGGGACUUGUAUCAACGGCAUCACGAGGGCCUUACUGUCUCCUUCCUCCAAUCAGUGAAACUGAUCUUCCCGUGAAGAAGCGGGAAUAAACCUAUAAGACGAGAAGACCCCAUGGAGCUUUAAAUUUAUUAUAUACCUCUACGCACCAAAAUCAUCAUUAGCCAAGAUGCCUGUAUAUUAGUUUUAGGUUGGGGCGACCGCGGAGUAAAACUUAACCUCCACAACAAAAAGGCUAAGCCUUUAUCUCAGAUUCUACGAAUCUAAGAAUCAACAAAUUGAUGUUAAAUGACCCAAACGUUUGAUCAAUGAACCAAGUUACCCUGGGGAUAACAGCGCAAUCUACUUUGAGAGCCCAUAUCGACAAGUGGGUUUACGACCUCGAUGUUGGAUCAGGGUAUCCUAGUGGUGCAACCGCU
rnacentral:rRNA from 1 species